CACGUUGGGUAAGCAACAGUGGAGGUUUUUCCUAGACCCAUGUAACGUGCAGGCCCGGAGCGUACGCCCUGAUCAGCAAGGCCCCCAUAUAGAUUAAGAAGUCCAGAAGAAUGAGACAGCUUUUGUAACACUUUCAAUAAAAACGGUCAUCGAGUCUUAGUCACCUCUGUACCUGACACGUCUUCAUGCUGAAUAAACAAUCUCGGACGGCCUACAAAGAAUAACCCACCAACCCAAUGUUGACUGUUGGAUUAGCGUCUGUCAACAGAGCUGGAGGCAGAGUCGACUUCUGAUGUGUGACUGAACAAUUAGCGUGUCCGUAUUCUGCUGAUAAGCUGUAGGAGCUUAGAGUGUUUAGAAACAGCAUCAGCAGACGAAAUGCGUUGUUGCGAAGUCAUGUCUGUUCCUUGCGUAUUGUUAAGAAAUCGCGUUCAAUGGAAACCAACGUUCCACAAUGGCACGUUUGGCAACACUGUGUGUUCCAUGUUUCUUGCAUUUACCCCUCCACCCUCCCUCUAAAACACUACAAUGCUGUUAAAACCAGUGUAUCUCGAAAUGUCAUAAAGGACCUUGGACGUUAAUGACUCAACGACGGGCCUUUGUGAAGAUGCUAAUGAAAGUGGCAGCAAUCAACUUUGAAGUCAAAACUUGUAUCACGGAGUUUGGAGUUAUUUUAUAGUAACGUAGUGUCACUUAUGCCAAACACUGCCUGCAUUGAUAUUUGAUUUUUCGGUUACGUACGAACGCUCUUCAACUGUUUAAGUUGGUAGACAGUUGAUGGAUUUUAGAUGAAUUGCAAGGAAGUGGUUGCCUGGAGGGACCGAGGAAAGCCAAUAAGACUUCAGCCAGGAUAAUAGGUUUCCAGGCGGAGAUUCGAACCCUGUACUUCCACGUUUCUUAGCGAUCUCUUCUGUUUCGUUCCUGGACUCAUUUCGAGCAUCCGAGCAAAAUCUUUUGCGUUUCUGCGUAGGAUGUAGACACUGAAAAUGGUGGAAACUUUGAAAGGCGUUGCAUUCGAUUUUCCUUGUUUAGGGACAAUGAGCAAGGCCACUGUAAGCGCAUAUAUUUGCUUACCUGCAAGAUGGUAGUCCUUGUUUGGACGCCUGAUGUCAUCUUUAUUAUCAACAAAGUGGAGGUUAUUGAAAGGGUCAUAAGGUUGUCCAAAACCACAUUUGUCUAACAGCGUAUGAGGCUCCAUAAAAAAAUCAGAGGACUUCAAAAGACGUUGAAUUUUUAAUGCGGGACAGAAUUUGGAGGGGAAUUAUGGAUUCAAUCCGCUACCCACCUGAAAUGUCAGAGACGACACGUAAUAUUAAAGUUUGUUUUUAUUCACGGUUGUGUCGCUGGUGUCUCACCACGGAGACCAGAGAUCGCUGCCAUGGUAGCCGGGGGUUUGUGAUGGACAGUGGCACUGGGACAGGUUUUACACGCUGAUGUGGCGCGAGAUUUUAUAGAAAAUUUCAUGUUUGGUUUGUAACACCGUGUAGCUUGGUAGAAGUUUACCGACGUUUCGGAGGUCCCUGCUGCCUCCAUCAUCAGGGCGAUGAUGGACUCGACAUUGAGGCAGUAAUCACCUCUGAAACGUAGGCAAAGUCCUACGAGACGACACGGUUCAGAAUCCCUGAAGGCACUUUUCCUCGACCACUGUCAGAGGCGAGGUUCACAGCGAACAACUUCCAGUUGUGAUUCACAGGGAGAGUACGUCACGUACGCCAUUGUUCUUAACCUUUUCCUUUCAAUAGUUGAGAUGGCACGUGUGUGCGCUCAUAUAAACAUUGCUGUAUUCACGUUCGAGCUAAAUAAACUGGGGCUUAGGACCUCACAUUAUGAUGUCUGAAA